CACCGCGGUUAUACGAGAGGCCCAAGUUGAUAAACACCGGCGUAAAGGGUGGUUAGGGUUUCCAUUUACACUAAAGCCGAACGCCCUCUGAGCCGUUAAACGCCCGCCGAGGGUAAGAAGCCCCACCACGAAAGUGGCUUUAUACUACCUGACCCCACGAGGGCCAAGGCA
rnacentral:rRNA from 1 species